GUUAGGAAUAUUGGACAAUGGGCGCAAGCCUGAUCCAGCCAUGCCGCGUGAGUGAUGAAGGCCUUCGGGUUGUAAAGCUCUUUAGUCCACGAAUAUAAUGACUGUAGUGGAAGAAUAAGCCCCGGCUAACUUCGUGCCAGCAGCCGCGGUAAUACGAAGGGGGCGAGCGUUAUUCGGAAUCACUGGGCGUAAAGCGUGCGUAGGCUGUUUUGUAAGUCAGAAGUGAAAGCCCAGGGCUUAACCCUGGAAUUGCUUUUGAAACUACAAGACUCGAAUUCGGGAGAGGAUAGCGGAAUUGUCAGUGUAGCAGUGAAAUGCGUAGAUAUUGACAGGAACACCAGUGGCGCAAGCGGCUAUCUGGACGAGUAUUGACGCUGAGGCACGAAAGCGUGGGGAUCAAACAGGAUUAGAUACCCGGGUAGUCC
rnacentral:rRNA from 1 species